CACUGAACAUCAUGCAGUAUUAUGUUAAUUUACCGAUCGAUCAAUCUGCUUUGAAAGAAUAACCAGUAGAUAUCAAAUGUUUCAUAUUUCAGGAAGCUAAGGGUCACCUUCGAUUGAUAGUUUAGUUUCGCUUUUAUUUUUUUUAAUAAAACUCGCUGAAGAAGAUGUCGUCCUGAGGUUUACAAAGUUUUGACGGCUGAACAUGAAAUUCAUUAACUUUUACAAUGUUCAGAUGCUUGAAUCUGCUGCUGCUGUUGUGUUUGAUACAUUAUAUCGAAUCCUCUGGAAACACUCCUCGAUCUGUGACGGGGCAACAAGGAGGCAGCGUCACCCUGCUGUGUGACUUUGAGGCCAGAAACAUUUCAGAUAUAGUUUUAAAGUCGAUUUUCAAAAAACAUCCUUGUUUGUCAGACUGAAGAAUGUAAGAGUGAAAAUGACAGAGUGUUUAAAGAAGGAUCAUGUGACAUCAUCAUCAAGGAUCUGAUCUUCAGUGACGCUGGGAAAUACCUUCUGAGAGUCUAUUACACUAAUGAUCAGAGAGUAGAGAGGG